rnacentral:rRNA from 1 species
UACGUAGGGUGCGAGCGUUAUUCGGAUUUACUGGGCGUAAAGAGCAUGUAGGUUGUUGCUCGCGUCUUCGAUUAAAGACCCAAGCUCAACUUGGGGAGUGUUGAGGAUACGGAGUGACUAGAGGUUUGCAGGGGCAGAUGGAAUUCCUGGUGUAGCAGUGAAAUGCGUAGAUAUCAGGAAGAACACCAAUGGCGAAAGCAGUCUGCUGGGCUUACUCUGACACUGAGAUGCGAAAGCGUGGGGGAGCGAACGGG